UACAGAGAGGGCAAGCGUUGUCCGGAAUGAUUGGGCGUAAAGCGUCCGCAGGUGGCUAUGUAAGUCCGCUGUUAAAGAGUCUAGCUUAACUAGAUAAAGGCAGUGGAAACUACAUUGGCUAGAGUGCGUUCGGGGCAGAGGGAAUUCCUGGUGUAGCGGUGAAAUGCGUAGAGAUCAGGAAGAACACCGGUGGCGAAAGCGCUCUGCUAGGCCGCAACUGACACUGAGGGACGAAAGCUAGGGGAGCGAAUGGG
rnacentral:rRNA from 1 species